GUCACGAAGCGUCUCAUCUCCGUCGGGCUCAGUGUCAGGUGCCGUUGCCCCUUUCAGACCGCUGUUUAACAACUUUGGACAGCCUUCCAUGGGCUAUGUGCAGGCGAUGAAGCCACCGGCGCCCAGGGCUCCCAGAGCACCUACAACGACCUGCUGUCGGUCAUAGAGGAGAAGGGCAAAGAGAUCCGGCCUGCCUAUGCUGGCAGCAAGAGCACCAUGGAGCGCCUGAAGAGAGGUAUCAUCCAUGCCCGGGCCCUAGUCAGAGAGUGCCUGGCAGAGACAGAGUGCAAUGCCCGCA
rnacentral:lncRNA from 10 species